rnacentral:rRNA from 1 species
AGUGAACGCUGGCGGUAGGCCUAACACAUGCAAGUCGAACGGCAGCACAGUAAGAGCUUGCUCUUACGGGUGGCGAGUGGCGGACGGGUGAGGAAUACAUCGGAAUCUACUUUUUCGUGGGGGAUAACGUAGGGAAACUUACGCUAAUACCGCAUACGACCUACGGGUGAAAGCAGGGGAUCUUCGGACCUUGCGCGAUUGAAUGAGCCGAUGUCGGAUUAGCUAGUUGGCGGGGUAAAGGCCCACCAAGGCGACGAUCCGUAGCUGGUCUGAGAGGAUGAUCAGCCACACUGGAACUUAGACACGGUCCAGACUCCUACGGGAGGCAGCAGUGGAGAAUAUUGGACAAUGGGCGCAAGCCUGAUCCAGCCAUACCGCGUGGGUGAAGAAGGCCUUCGGGUUGUAAAGCCCUUUUGUUGGGAAAGAAAAGCAGCAGGUUAAUACCCCGCUGUUCUGACGGUACCCAAAGAAUAAGCACCGGCUAACUUCGUG